AGUUCGAAAAACGAGACAAAGAGAGGUGAAUGAUUGUGAUAACUAAUGAACUAUGGGAGACCAAACGAUUACUAAUUUUAGGGGAAAAUGGAUGCACGAAAAAUAGGACAAUAAAAAAUUCGCCAAAAAAUGACAAAACUCUGUUGUUGGGGCUCUCCAAGUCUCCAUGCUGUGAGUCAUGCAGCUUAGCAGAUUUCACACCUGUGCCAGCCAUCAUCGACAAAAAAGAUGUGCAAGUUUUGCUUGUGCUGUCAUCGGCCACCAAUCUCAGUUCAUCAACAACAUUGAUAACCAGCAACUUCUUUGUCGAUUGGAGAGACUACCGAUCGAGUUGUGGGUGUAUUCGCGAGGACGCCCUUUUUCCUAUAUCCUUCCUGGUGGAUUCAACUCUUCUGCAGAUGGAAUAAUGCCUAGCCGGAUUUCCCAGGCUUAAAGAUUUUACACCUGAGCCAACCAUCAUCAACCACACGAUUAUGUGCAAGUUUUGCUUGUGCUGGACCUGCCAUCAUCAAUUCAUUUCGUCGUCGAUUGGAUAAACAGCAUCUUCUUUGAUUGUGAAAGCUACCAGCCGAGUGACGGAUCUCAUCUUAUCCCCCCUUUCUUUGAAUAUCCUCGUGUACACCCAUGUGAGUUGUGGGGGUAUUCACGAGGACCCCCUUUUUUCCCUAUCCCGACUGGCGGAUUAAACUUUUUCAGCGGAUGGCUGGAAGCACUUGUGGAUGGAUGCCUGGCUGUGGAUUUCCCAGGCUUAAAAGGUAGGACAAAUUUAUGUCUAUUCUUCUUUUUUGGUACUAUGUGCUGUGACAGUCGGAAGAUUAUUCCUGAGCUAGGCGGUUAAGGUUUUUCGUGAAAUAGCCAAAGUUAAAUUAAAACCAAGGAUCGUAAAAAUGUGGAAAUGGAUGAAA